AUACGUAGGGUGCGAGCGUUAAUCGGAAUUACUGGGCGUAAAGCGUGCGCAGGCGGUUAUGUAAGACAGAUGUGAAAUCCCCGGGCUCAACCUGGGAACUGCAUUUGUGACUGCAUAGCUAGAGUACGGCAGAGGGGGAUGGAAUUCCGCGUGUAGCAGUGAAAUGCGUAGAUAUGCGGAGGAACACCUAUGGCGAAGGCAAUCCCCUGGGCCUGUACUGACGCUCAUGCACGAAAGCGUGGGGAGCAAACAGGAUUAGAAACCCUAGUAGUCC
rnacentral:rRNA from 1 species